GCGGAGGAUCAUUACUGAGUUAGGGAGAGAACGGAUCCCCCCCUCGUUGAGUAACUGUUUUCUUGGUCGAUGGCGGGGACCCGUCCCCCCUUAAAGUCUGAGAAGACCAUCGUGUCCCAGAGACCUUUUAUUUUCCUCCGUUUGUGGAUUCUGACUCUUGGAUCCUUGUUCCAAGACGAACGCCAGGAAAUGUGUUGGAUAAGGUUUAUUGGAGUUUGCAGGGAAAUGCGAUGUUUCGAGUAAGUUUGCACUCCUUGGUAUUACCAGGAGUACGCCUGUUCGAGGGUCCCUUUGUAUCCCGAUUGGCUCGACUGUCAAUCGCUCCCUUGGAACGAUUACACUGUUGUGGGCUAGUGAGCAUCUGUGAGGACUCACUUGGAGUCGAUGUGCCUCAAUCCCGGCUCAAAAGUUGACCUCGGAUCACGCGGAGAUACCCGCUGAACGGGCGCGGGGCAAUAAGACCACGAAGUUUGACCUCUGAUCAGGUGAGGAUACGAGCUGAACUUAAACAUAUCUGAAGCGCAUGAACCGAUGAGUGGACUCCGUGCCCGCCAGAAAUCCCGCUCCACCUUUUUUUUUUUUAUUAUGCGGUGAAA
rnacentral:misc_RNA from 1 species